rnacentral:rRNA from 2 species
CCCCUAGUAACUGCGAGUGAAGCGGGAAAAGCUCAAAUUUGAAAUCUGGCGGCUCCGUCGCCCGAGUUGUAUUCUGGAGAAGCGUUUUCCGUGCCGGACCGUGUACAAGUCCCUUGGAACAGGGCGUCAUAGAGGGUGAGAAUCCCGUCUUUGACACGGACUCCCGGUGCUAUGUGAUGCGCUCUCGAAGAGUCGAGUUGUUUGGGAAUGCAGCUCAAAAUGGGUGGUAAAUUCCAUCUAAAGCUAAAUAUUGGCGAGAGACCGAUAGCGAACAAGUACCGUGAGGGAAAGAUGAAAAGCACUUUGGAAAGAGAGUAAAACAGUACGUGAAAUUGUUGAAAGGGAAACGCUUGAAGUCAGUCGCGUCUGCCGGAACUCAGCCUUGCUUCUGCUCGGUGCACUUUCCGGUUCGACGGGCCAGCAUCGGUUUUGGGCGGCGGACACUGGCGCGGGGAAGGUGGCAGCUCCGGCUGUGUUAUAGCCCCGCGUCGCAAACGCCGUCCGGGACCGAGGAAUCCGGCGCAAGCCUGGGAUGCUGGCGUAAUGGCUUUAAACGACCCGUCUUGAAACACGGACCAAGGAGUGCUACACGCUCGCGAGUGUUUGGGUGGAAAACCCGGACGCGCAAUGAAAGUGAAAGUCGAUACCCCUCGCGGGGGCACCGACGCCCGAGCCUGAUGUUUUCGGAAGGCCUUGCGGUAGAGCGAGUGCGUUGCGACCCGAAAGAUGGUGAACUAUUCCUGAGGAGGGCGAAGCCAGAGGAAACUCUGGUGGAGGCUCGUAGCGGUUCUGACGUGCAAAUCGAUCGCAGGACUUGGGUAUAGGGGCGAAAGACUAAUCGAACCAUCUAGUAGCUGGUUCCUGCCGAAGUUUCCCUCAGGAUAGCAGAAGCUCAUAUCAGAUUUAUGUGGUAAAGCGAAUGAUUAGAGGCCUUGGGGUUGAAACAACCUUAACCUAUUCUCAAACUUUAAAUAUGUAAGGACGAGCCGUCACUUGAUUGGACCGCUCGACGAUUGAGAGCUUCUAGUGGGCCAUUUUUGGUAAGCAGAACUGGCGAUGCGGGAUGAACCGAUCGCGAGGUUAAGGUGCCGGAAUGCACGCUCAUCAGACACCACAAAAGGUGUUAGUUCAUCUAGACAGCAGGACGGUGGCCAUGGAAGUCGGAAUCCGCUAAGGAGUGUGUAACAACUCACCUGCCGAAUGAACUAGCCCUGAAAAUGGAUGGCGCUCAAGCGUGCUACCCAUACCUCGCCGUCAGCGUUGAAGUGACGCGCUGACGAGUAGGCAGGCGUGGGGGUCUGUGA